GUGUCAGCAGCCGCGGUAACACGUAGGGGGCAAGCGUUGUCCGGAUUUAUUGGGCGUAAAGAGCUCGUAGGCGGUUCGGUAAGUCGGGUGUGAAACCUCCAGGCUCAACCUGGAGACGCCACCCGAUACUGCUGUGACUAGAGUCCGGUAGGGGAGCGUGGAAUUCCUGGUGUAGCGGUGAAAUGCGCAGAUAUCAGGAGGAACACCAGCGGCGAAGGCGGCGCUCUGGGCCGGAACUGACGCUGAGGAGCGAAAGCGUGGGGAGCAAACAGGAUUAGAUACCCCAGUAGUCC
rnacentral:rRNA from 1 species